UGGGGAAUUUUGGACAAUGGGGGCAACCCUGAUCCAGCCAUGCCGCGUGUGCGAAGAAGGCCUUCGGGUUGUAAAGCACUUUUGGCGGGAAAGAAAAGGCGCUGGCCAAUACCUGGCGCCGAUGACGGUACCCGCAGAAUAAGCACCGGCUAACUACGUGCCAGCAGCCGCGGUAAUACGUAGGGUGCAAGCGUUAAUCGGAAUUACUGGGCGUAAAGCGUGCGCAGGCGGUUCGGAAAGAGAGAUGUGAAAUCCCAGGGCUUAACCUUGGAACUGCAUUUUUAACUCCCGGACUAGAGUAUGUCAGAGGGGGGUGGAAUUCCACGUGUAGCAGUAAAAUGCGUAGAUAUGUGGAGGAACACCGAUGGCGAAGGCAGCCCCCUGGGAUGAUACUGACGCUCAUGCACGAAAGCGUGGGGAGCAAACA
rnacentral:rRNA from 1 species